rnacentral:rRNA from 1 species
UACGAAGGGUGCAAGCGUUACUCGGAAUUACUGGGCGUAAAGCGUGCGUAGGUGGUGAGUUAAGUCUGAUGUGAAAUCCCCGGGCUCAACCUGGGAAUGGCAUUGGAUACUGGCUCGCUCGAGUGCGGUAGAGGGUGGUGGAAUUCCCGGUGUAGCAGUGAAAUGCGUAGAGAUCGGGAGGAACAUCUGUGGCGAAGGCGGCCACCUGGACCAGCACUGACACUGAGGCGCGAGAGCGUGGGGAGCAAACAGGG